GACGUAGGGGGCCAGCGUUGCUCGGAAUUACUGGGCGUAAAGGGCGCGUAGGCGGCUCGGCAAGUUGGAUGUGAAAGCCCAGGGCUCAACCCUGGAAUUGCAUUCAAGACUGCCUUGCUUGAAUUCGGUAGAGGUUGGUGGAAUUCCCAGUGUAGAGGUGAAAUUCGUAGAGAUUGGGAAGAACACCCGUGGCGAAGGCGGCCAACUGGACCGACAUUGACGCUGAGGCGCGAAAGCGUGGGGAUCAAACAGG
rnacentral:rRNA from 1 species